GAGACGUGGCAGAGUGGCCGAAUGCACCGGUCUUGAAAACCGGCGAGGUUAACCCCUCCGCGGGUUCAAAUCCCGCCGUCUCC
rnacentral:tRNA from 1 species